UUUCAGUGCUUCAGCCCCUAAACAAAGAAUAAGAGAUUCUCACAGAAGAAUUAUGUUGCUCAAUCAUCCAGAUAGAGGUAUGCUUUUUACAUAUUGUCAAAUUUUAUCUUUUGUCCCCCAAUCAAACCUUUUUAUGACCCCCAAUCAAACCUUUUUAUGACCGGACAUGCAACAGAUUGGUAGGCAUCUCAAAAAAGAUAUUUUUACCCAUCGGAAGCAUGCCGCUGGGUCCGGCCACAUUUUGCACGUGAGACGUGCAUUAACCAAACAUUUGUUCAUUGUUUAACACUUGACGUUUAUUGGAUGAAAAUUGACAUUACUAGGGGCAAACUUCAUUAUUGUUAAGGCAAAACUUCCUCUACCAAAUGAGAAUGCGAGGUUUCUUACGUUGUACUGUAAAAUGAAAUUCACAAUGCUUAGUAUUCGUACUCUACAUUAAAGUGCCUAUAUCAUGGUUUUGCAGUUUGCAUAUCUCGAAAGUUUAGGGUAUUUUAAGACACUUUGCAAUAUAUUUUGUUAUUGAAAAAUUUCAUCUUGACGGAUUUAUUAGCUCUUAAAGUUACCGGACAUGACGUCAAAAGGAGAAUUGCAAAUCAGUUUUCCUUUGUAUCAUUGCAGCAAAAUUCUCCUUUUGACGUUAUGUCCGGUAACUUUAAGAGCCAAUAAAUCCGUCAAGAUGAAAUUUUUCAAUAACAAAAUAUAUUGCAAAGUGUCUUAAAAUACCCUAAACUUUCGAGAUAUGCAAACUCCAAAACCAUGAUAUAGACACUUUAAAUAAGUACACCUCAUCAUACUCAGAAAUACAGUAUAAAGCAAGUGAACAAAUCCUAUUCAAAUUCAAACGACCUUACAUUCUCAUUUGGUAGAGGAAGUUUUACCUUAGCAACAAUGAAGUUCGCCCCUAAUAACGUCAACCUUCAUCCAAUAAACAUCAAGUUUGAAACAAUGAACAAGUGCCUCCUCUGCAGGCAUCAUCUUUAGAUUUGCUGGCAGUAUUUAUUUGUGGGAUGCCUGUGGAGUAGGCAGGAUUUUUUUCAGGAUUUUGUCUUGGGUCCGUUUUUGUAGAGAUGAUUGAGUUUAGCUGAACAGCUGGGAGUCUGAGGCGGUUGUUCUUACCGGGAGGCUGAAACCUGUGCCCACUUUAGUGUAGUUGAGAUACAAUGUGUUAAAUCAGGGACACUAUAAACUGGUUAAAGACGGUGAAUGUUGUGAAAUGAAUUCCAGCCAUUUUUUACUUAAUUUUUGGAUUUUCAACUAAAACCUAAUUUGCACACGUCAUGAAUUUAACUCAAACAACUUCAUUUUACUGCAUAGAAUCUUUUGAUGAGAAGAUUGAGAUUCAAAACUCAAUUCAAGAUUGAGUUUUUGGGGCCGUUUUACGGUCCUAAAAAAUCCCUGAAAAAAACCCUGGUAGGCUAUUCACGCCCAGUGAACUCGAUGUCAGUCUCGUACCCAGAGCAUGCCCGUUCGCAGGUAAGGGCUGCAAUUGGCAGAUUGGCUGUACCUUGUGUUUUUUAGGUGGUUCUCCGUAUCUUGCUGCUAAAAUCAAUGAAGCCAAAGAUUACUUUGAAGGAGCGUCAAAGUAGUCAUCGAUAUCGACGAAUUGCCUCAAAGACAUUUGCAACACAACGGAGCCCGUCGUCUCUUGGAGGAAUGUUAGUUGUCAGAUGUAGCGAAAUUAUAGAGAUGAGUAUAUGCUGUGUAUAUAUUAAGAUUAUAUUUAUCUGAUGUCACCGUCUACUCAGUGGCAUUGGUUCAUGCCAUAUUGUACAACUAUAUUUAAAGAGCAACCGCCUCAAACAGGAUUUUUGGUAUGUGUGAUAUUUGGAUCAUUUGAAAAGGAAAUGUCUGAAUUUGUAGUCAUCUUGAUACACUUUUUCACUGUCAAAGUUGCAUGCCGGGUAUAUUAUUUGAGGGAUCUUACACGAGUAGCUGCAUAAAAACAAAGGAAAGCUAAUUUAAAAUUCAUCUAAUGCCAUCAUGUCCAUCAGCUUUGACAGUGAAAGAGUUGAUCAAAAUGAUUUUUUUUCAACAUUCAUGGUACGUUACUUUUCUUCGUAGAAUGACCCAAAAAUUACACACACCAAUAAUCAAAUUUGGGGUUAGUGACACUUGAAAACAAUUGGCUUAAAUAGUAUUGAGAUUUUGAGCCGAAUAAAAAGUUGAAAACAAUAAAAUGCAUCAGCUGCAUUUUAGUCCCUAAUAUUGCACUAAAUAGUGGGUGCUGUUGAACAAAUCUCACAGGACUUGAGUCCAGAUCAAACGAGGAUGAAAGUGCAUAAGAGUUG
rnacentral:lncRNA from 1 species